rnacentral:rRNA from 1 species
AUUGAACGCUGGCGGCAUGCCUUACACAUGCAAGUCGAACGGCAGCACGGGUGCUUGCACCUGGUGGCGAGUGGCGAACGGGUGAGUAAUACAUCGGAACAUGUCCUGUCGUGGGGGAUAGCCCGGCGAAAGCCGGAUUAAUACCGCAUACGAUCUACGGAUGAAAGCGGGGGACCUUCGGGCCUCGCGCUAUAGGGUUGGCCGAUGGCUGAUUAGCUAGUUGGUGGGGUAAAGGCCUACCAAGGCGACGAUCAGUAGUUGGUCUGAGAGGACGACCAGCCACACUGGAACUGAGACACGGCCCAGACUCCUACGGGAGGCAGCAGUGGGGAAUUUUGGACAAUGGGCGAAAGCCUGAUCCAGCAAUGCCGCGUGUGUGAAGAAGGCCUUCGGGUUGUAAAGCACUUUUGUCCGGAAAGAAAUCCUUGGCCCUAAUACGGUCGGGGGAUGACGGUACCGGAAGAAUAAGCACCGGCUAACUACGUG